GACGAACGCUGGCGGCGUGCUUAACACAUGCAAGUCGAACGGUGAAGCUCCAGCUUGCUGGAGUGGAUCAGUGGCGAACGGGUGAGUAACACGUGAGCAACCUGCCCCUGACUCUGGAAUAAGCGCUGGAAACGGCGUCUAAUACUGGAUACGAGAAGGGUCCGCAUGGGCACUUUCUGGAAAGUUUUUCGGUUGGGGAUGGGCUCGCGGCCUAUCAGCUUGUUGGUGAGGUAAUGGCUCACCAAGGCGACGACGGGUAGCCGGCCUGAGAGGGCGACCGGCCACACUGGGACUGAGACACGGCCCAGACUCCUACGGGAGGCAGCAGUGGGGAAUAUUGCACAAUGGGCGAAAGCCUGAUGCAGCGACGCCGCGUGAGGGAUGACGGCCUUCGGGUUGUAAACCUCUUUCAGCAGGGAAGAAGCGAAAGUGACGGUACCUGAAGAAGAAGCACCGGCUAACUACGUG
rnacentral:rRNA from 1 species